rnacentral:misc_RNA from 1 species
GUUUCAUUUUUGCCCCAAAGAUUGRGCUUGCUCUUCUUGGUCACGACCCUUGGUUCCURUGUUGCCUUCCCCNNUGUAUGGAAAACUUCGUCAGACAGCCCCGCACCUGUCCUCCUUGUGGCUUUGCGGCUGCAAUGUGGACCUCGAAAGCAGUCCCCACGUCCCGGACAUAUCCACUGACUCUUUGUUGUGGCUGUCUCGGUCCGCAGGACAACUGCUCGUGCUCCCGGAUKUGGAAAAUUAAGCGGACGUCGGGGGGGGGUCUCGGCCUCCUGUUGCUCCAAUCAAGUCCCUCGAUAAGAAUGACUCUUGCUACCCCAUUGACCGCAGGCCGUCCAGGCCCGUGGCAUCGAUGUGGGUCCGAAGUCGAGAAAGAAU